UCCAACUCGGUGAUCAGGACUGAACACAGACGAGUCACCAUGGAGUUUGGACUGAGCUGGGUUUUCCUUCUUGCUUUAUUAAAAGGUGUCCAGUGUGAAGUGCAGCUGGUGGAGUCCGGGGGAGGCUUGGUGAAGCCUGGGGGUUCUCUGAGACUCACCUGUGUCGCCUCUGGAUUCACCUUUGGUCACUACGGCAUGCACUGUGUCCGCCAGGCUCCAGGGAAGGGGUGGAGUGGGUCUCAGCCAUUAGCGGGAACGGUGGUAGCACAUACUACGCAGACUCCGUGAAGGGCCGAUUCACCAUCUCCAGGGAUCACCAUCUCCAGGGAAAACACCAAGAACACAGUAUAUCUGCAAACUGAAAAUGCGAGAGCUGAGGACACGGCCACGUAUUACUGUGCAAGAGACACAAUCAUCCUGAAGAUUCUCCUCAUUUCUGUUUUGGAGCUAAUUUCACUCAUAGAAAAACAGCCGCACAGCCCAGUCACUGUGUGUCCCAAGGUCACACUCUUUGGCCCCAGAGAAGAAGCUUUUGUCCCUUCAUGGACACCUUCACUCAGACAGCUACCUCUUCCUCUCGUGGUCUCGAAUAGAUUUGAUCAUCAUAUACCCAACCCCACAUUAUCUGCUAAUGUGCAUCCUAUGUGUCAGUCCAUCCAUGGACACCCUGGAUAG